GACAGAGGGUGCAAACGUUGUUCGGAAUUACUGGGCGUAAAGCGCACGUAGGCGGCUUUCUAAGUCAGGGGUGAAAUCCUGGAGCUCAACUCCAGAACUGCCUUUGAUACUGGAGAGCUUGAGUCCGGAAGAGGUGAGUGGAACUCCGAGUGUAGAGGUGAAAUUCGUAGAUAUUCGGAAGAACACCAGUGGCGAAGGCGGCUCACUGGUCCGGUACUGACGCUGAUGUGCGAAAGCGUGGGGAGCAAACAGG
rnacentral:rRNA from 1 species